AAAGUGAAAUUAGAGUUCGUCGGCGAUUAAAGGGGAAAAAAAGAGAACUCUCAAAUUAGGGUUUCCAUUUCAAUGUAUGAAUUUCAGCGUGAGGAGUUUUCAUUGAUACAAGAGGCCUCGAUUAUCUUCUUAAUGUCGUCGAAGGCUUUCACAAGCUCCAUUGGGACGCAGGUAUGCCGGGGUAAGUGGAAGCCGUACUGGAAACUGAAUGUGUAAAUCAUUUUCCAAGCUUUUUCUAACUCUGGAUUUCUCUUGAAGUUCGCGGAUUUGUUGAGGGAUUUUAAAUAGUGUAUAUUAGCCAUUGCCUUGAUCUGAAAUCUGUGUUGGGCGGAAAUUUUGCGUUAGUUCACUUAGAAAAUUAGUGCUCUGGUUGUAUGAACUUCUCUUGUGCCAAUGCUUUGAUUUAAUUUGAAGUAUAAGAUAAAUUUUUUGAGGCCUCUAUAUUUGGUUGUUCAUGAAAGAGGGUGAUGGCUGCAUUUGUAUGCGAAGAAAUCAGUAGUGUAUUGUGAGACAAGGGGCUGUUAGAGCAAUUUGUGCAUUAAAAUGGGACCUCAUAUAUUUAGAUCCAUUUCAAAAAGGUACCAUUAUCUCAAUAUGGUUGUUAGAUGUAAAACAACAUCUUCCCAAUAUGUUGCAUCAAGAGCUAGAGAUCCAACGUUUGAGAAACUGAUGGAUAGGUACAAAAAUCUUCUAAAAGUGGUUGCUGUCCAAGAUCUUAUCCUUGCUAAUCCGAGGAAUCAAUCGGUAUCUCUAGAAUUCCUCUCGAGGCUUUCCCAGAAGCUCCAUCUCAACCGUGGCGCUGCCUCCUUCCUUCGCAAAUACCCUCAUAUUUUUCACAUAUUCUAUGAUCCAAACAAGACUCAACCAUUUUGCAAAUUAACAGAUACUGCCAUCCAUAUAGUUUGUGAAGAAGCAGAUGCUAUCCAUGCUUCAUUGCCUCAGGUUGUUGACAGAUUAGUCCGGCUUUUAUCAAUGGCGAAUUCUAAGAUGUUACCACUGCGUGCAAUUUACAAGGUAUGGAGGGAGCUUGGCCUCCCUGACAAUUUUGAGGACUGCGUGAUAUCGAAAAACUCUCAUAUUUUUCAGCUUUGUGAUGCGUAUGAACCAAAUACUCAUUUUUUGAAGUUGGUUGAUGACAUUCCGAGAAAUCAUUUCCGAGCAGCUGUCGAUGAAUGGAGAGUUACUCAGUGUUGUAAAGAUGGAUAUUCUGUUGACGAGACAGAAAUCAAGUAUAGCUUUAAACAUAGCUAUCCUCCGGGGAUGCGGUUGAGAAAAACCUUCAAGGCCAAGGUUAAGGAAUGGCAAAGGUGUCCAUAUACCGGACCAUACGAGGGAACACUCGACAGUAACAAGUAUGGGAACACUGCUAUAGCACUGGAAAAACGAGCAGUUUCAAUUAUUCACGAAUUCAUGACUUUGACUGUGGAAAAGAUGGUGGAAGUAGAGAAGAUCAGCCAUUUUAGGAAAUGGUUUGGCAUUGAGUUAAAUGUAAGAGAUCUAUUCUUGGACCAUCCUGGGAUAUUUUAUUUAUCAACCAAGGGAAAGAGACAUACCGUCUUUCUAAGAGAAGCUUAUGAGAGGGGGUGUUUAAUAGAUCCAAAUCCAGUUUAUACUGUAAGGAGAAAACUCCUAGAUUUUGUUGAUAUGGGGCGUCGUGGUUUACCUCCUAGCAGCUUAAGACAGAAGGUAGAUCAAAUUCACAAUGAAGAUGGUGACUUUCCUUUAGGUAACAAAUGAACAAAGGACAAUAUUUAUAGUCUUUCAAUAAGUGUUUCAAAGCUCACUAAUGACUCUACAAUCGGUGAAAUCAUUGUUGGGCAGAAAUUUGUGAUACAUUGUGUAUCUGAAAACAAAAAGGAGAAUGCUUUAGUUUUUCAAUGGAGAUAUGUAAGUGCAGAAUGGUGGAGAGAUAGAACGCUUACAUUAUGGAAUUUGAAUGUAACGACCUAAGCCCACCGCUAGUAGAUAUUAAUUUCUUUGGGCUUUCCCUCAAGGUUUUUAAAAUGCGUAUGCUAGGGAGAGUUUCCACACUCUUAUCUAUGCUUCGUUUUCCUCCCCAACCGAUGUGGGAUCUCACCUUGAAUGUAUUGGAGUAGUUGGUCAUUAAUUUCUAAUAUGGAAACCCUUCAUGAAUAUAGAAUACUUGGAGAAUGGGUUGUUUGCUGCAUCUUCUUACAGAUAUGAACAUCGAAGGAUCAAAGUAUGAGAAGCGAGGGGAUUGAACCGCCCUGGCAACUUCUCUAGCAACUGGCGAGUAAUUCAGUUUUUAAUAUAGGUAAGCAUUAUUGGAGAAGUUGAACAACCUGAUUUGGAAGUCUGAACUGCGUUCUUUGUGAUCUGCUGGCAAUUAUGCUCUGAACAAAGCUUCAUUCACACAGAUGCGUCUUAUUCAAGUUUAAUAUGCCUCCUUAUACAUUUCCAUUGCAUCUUCAUUAUCUGCAUCAAUUUAUUGAACACUUUGACAUGUAGUCCGUUGAGUUUCCCUGCCAUUUCUUGGUUUCAAGUGAGAAGGCAGAGUCUGAACCAUUUGGACUACAGAUUUUUUGGUUGUACUAUAGAAGUUUGAAGGUUCAUGAUUUUAAAACGGUCUAUUCGGGAGAAGUUUCCACACCUUUAUAAAAAAUGUUUUGUUCCCUCUCCUACCGAUAUAUCAUCCUCACAAGAAAGAAGCAUUUUGUCUAGAGAUGAGAACUUUGAGGAUUGUUGAUCCAUUUCCCCAAUAUUUGUUCCAUGAGCAGUGGAUAAUAUGCAUACAAAAUGUCGAUGGCGUUGCUAUCGUCUCUACUUACCUGUACAAUACUACAUAUGAACUGAAAAGGAAAGACAGAAGAAUUGGCAAACAAUAACAGACAAUCAAAGAUAUCUCGGUUAGAGAAGCGUCGAAA